UUCCAGUCUUGGUUUGCCUCCUUGGGCAAACUAAGGCUGGCAAGAGCUGCCUCCGGGUCGCAGUGAGGACUCAGCGAGGGAACGAGGGCGAGCAAGCUUUGGAAAGCCAGUUGCUGAGCAGAUGGUCUGGACAGGUGGCCAGACGAAGCCACGUUGCCCGGGGCCGCAGCCUGGCGGCACACACCGACUCCCCAACAGCGCGGGCUCCACCGUGCCCGCCUUCAGGCCCCGCCCCCGGCGCGGGGCAUUGUGGGCCGCCGGCCGAUGAGCCCCAAGUCGCGCCCAGGGCCUCCUCUCCGGGCUCCGCGCCGCUGUCGCGCAGCCGCAGCGCUGAGCAGGAAACGUUCCUUUCCAAACGGCAUGGAAUUUUGGACACUUCCACACUAAGACAACUACUUCAGCCAGAACGUGGGACAGGCGCUCACAGGAUGUCACCCUUGAGGAUAAAUACUCGCUAGUUUCCGGUGAACGGUGGAAAAGGAAGCGGCUGGGGUGAGGGAGGCUCAUCCUCGCAUAUUUAACCUGGGGAAGGAGAGAAUAAUUGGAAGGUGGGGAGGAUAGGAAAUGUGGUUGCUCCUCUCCCAUCCUUUCAUUUCAGAUCUUUCCAAUGUUUUUAUAUCUUUCACUUAAAAAAAUCAUUCCCCUUUCCUGAGUUUGGAUGAGGCUGGGGAGCAAACUUCCCAAAAAAGGAAGGUGAUGAAUAUGGGAGAGGGCCAAGGGAGAUGUUCAGGGAACUCAAACUCUCCAGCUUCCACCUAUUUCUGAGGGAAAUGCCAUCAGCCAUGGGUUUUAGCCCAAUGUAAGGGGAGCUGAUUGGGUGUAUGGGCGGUGGUGGGAGGUCUGAAUUAAGGGAAAGAAAGAAAGAAAGGCAGACCCUCUCCCACCCCAAGGCAUUAAAAGACACCCCCUCCCCCAGCUGUCUUGUGUCCGGCAGAAUGGCAUUAUGUAAAAAAUCUGGCACGUCACCCAGUGGCACAUCUGGUAGGUGUAGAUGGCAUUCAUUAGCACAGGGUUUCUACUCUGCUGCAUGCCAAAGCCCUGACAGAGAUGCCCGCUGCCAAUCAUUCACUCGCUGCCAAUCCCAGAGCGCGGCCUGGCGGGAUGGCUCCCUUCCACCCUGGCACUGGGACUGGAGGAAACAAUGUGUUGAGAUAGGAGGAGACGAAAGCGGAGCUGAAGAUGCGAGGCACCCAACAGAUGUAUCCAGUGAAGAGAUAACGGUGCGAAGAUUCAUUUAGCAAGAAAGCAUAUGCAGGAUCGCAGGAGGGAGGCUUGGGCAGGGGUCUGCCUACCUAGGGCUGAGCUGGGGGAGGGGCAGGGGAUCCCCUUCAGAAACCUCAAAGUUGAAGUUGCUUCUCUAAAAACACACAAAGACCAUUCUCCCCAACCCUAACUCUAAGACCUCCUCUCUCUCUCCCUGCCCCCAAUAUGUACCUCUGCUUAACUUACUAGCUCUGAAAAGAUGAACUAC